rnacentral:lncRNA from 1 species
GUUCUCGCGUGCUCUGGCUGGCGCUGCCCUGCCCUGGGCGCUGGGGGCGCACGGGGUACACGGGGCGCACAGGACGCACGGGCGGCGGGGCGCGGCGGCCGGGAGGAAGUGCGGGCUUGCCCGGGCGCGUUAAGGAAGUUGCCCAAAAUGAGGAAGCACCGUACGUUGGGUGGCUGAGGCGACUCCGGCGGCGGGAGCAGCAAGGAGGAGCUGGCCGCCCGGCGCUGCGCCCGGAGCUGCCCCCGCGAUCGCGCCCGCCGGGUCACCAGAGCCCCGAGCCCCGCCCUCGCCUCACCUGGCAUAGGUGGACCCCUGUGUGUGCCGUAGGUGUCAGGAGAAGGCGCAGGCAUGGCAGACAGUGCCAACCACUUGCCCUUCUUCUUUGGCAACAUCACCCGGGAGGAGGCUGAAGACUACCUGGUCCAGGGGGGCAUGAGCGACGGGCUCUACCUGCUUCGCCAGAGCCGCAACUACCUGGGUGGCUUCGCGCUGUCGGUAGCGUAUGACAGGAAGGCGCAUCACUACACCAUCGAGCGCGAGCUGAAUGGGACCUAUGCCAUCUCGGGCGGUAGGACCCACGGCAGCCCGGCCGAGCUCUGCCACUACCACUCCCAGGAGCUGGACGGCCUCGUCUGCCUGCUCAAGAACCCUUUCAACCGGCCGCCAGGGGUGCAGCCCAAGACCGGCCCCUUUGAGGACCUGAAGGAGAACCUCAUCCGGGAAUACGUGAAACAGACAUGGAACCUCCAGGGUCAAGCCCUGGAGCAGGCAAUUAUCAGCCAGAAACCUCAGCUGGAGAAGCUGAUUGCCACCACAGCCCAUGAAAAAAUGCCCUGGUUCCAUGGAAAAAUCUCUCGGGAUGAAUCUGAGCAGAUUGUCCUGAUAGGAUCAAAGACAAAUGGGAAGUUUUUGAUCAGGGCCAGGGACAACGGGUCUUAUGCCCUGUGCCUGCUGCACGAGGGGAAGGUGCUGCACUACCGCAUCGAUAAGGACAAAACUGGGAAGCUUUCCAUCCCCGGCGGGAAGAACUUCGACACCCUCUGGCAGCUCGUGGAACAUUAUUCUUAUAAAUCAGAUGGUUUGUUAAGAGUUCUUACAGUUCCAUGUCAAAAAAUUGGUGGGCAAACGGGAAAUGAUAGUUUUCGUCCACAACUUCCAAGUGCUCAUCCUGCGACUUGGUCAGCGGGUGGAAUAAUCUCAAGAAUCAAAUCAUACUCCUUCCCAAAGCCUGGCCACAGAAAGGUGCUAAAGCGUCCCCUGCUUGCUGUCCCUGACUAAGUGGUAGGACUGACCCGCACUCAGCGCCCACGCGCUGCCCUCCGGCUGCCCCUCCGUGUGCAUUGCGGCUGCUCUUCCUGCUGCGCUGGCCUCACGUCCCUGCCACGUGGCCCUCACGGGCAGCCCUCAUCCCAGUAUUCACUGUGCUUUCCAUGUGGGUCCCAGUCACUCUGCUGCAAAGUCCAUCACCGUCAGCGCGCUCCCUCUGCUGAAAUGUGCGCUUGAAAGUCGUUUUGGUCCGUGUGAUGGGGCGGGAGGGAAUUCUCAGAUGGGAAAGUGUUUUCAAAGCCAGCCAGGUUACUUUCGAAUUGCCAGAAUCACAUGCUGCAGUUAAAUAAUUUAUGUAGAUAAAUUAUGUGUUGGAAGAAAUGCCAGGGUUGUGUGGGUCCUGCCCAGGGAUGACACAGGGCCAUUUAUUUUCUAAACAUCGAGUGCCACAGUGGCACUCUAGAGUUCCAACACAGAACUUUAAACAUAACAUGGUUAGAGACAAGACAGUGUGUGAGGAUUAGCAACACCAUUUUAGGAGUUCCCGAUGUGGCUCGGGGAUCAAAUCCGCAUCCUCACGGACACUACGUCGGGUUCUUAAUCCACUGAGCCACAGUGGGAACUCUGAUAACUCACUUUUAAAUCACAUUAGUAUGCACUUACAUCUCCCAGGUUGAAGGUUAUCUUCAUUCAUUCAUUCGUUCAUUCAUCAUGUGUUUGUUCAACACAUUUUCGUUGAGCACCAAUGGCGGGCAUGGCAAAGCUCUGAUGCAGUGACUAAAUGGCUACGCCUCCUGGAACUUAUAUUCUGCUUUCAUUCUUGAUAUAUCCCAGCUACUUCUAUUAAACAGUUCAAUAACGAUGCUGAGCUCGUCGUCAGAAAAUGGAUCUGACGACAUCUCAUUGACAUAUAAGAGUGGAUGUCCUUUCGCCUGUCAGAAGGGCCUUUGCCACAGAGAGCAGUGGCUCUGCAGAGCUCUGUAAGCAGCAGGAAGAAGGUUUUGGAGACAAGUGGCCAAGUGGCAGCGGUGAUGCUCUGUGACUUGGUUACUGGACUUUUGGUUCCUGGACCUGGGUUGUCAGGAAGGCAGCUAAAGGCUCAGUGUGUGCCGGGAGAUAAGUGACUGUGUAAAAUUAAGCUUAAUGUCUCUGUUUCUUUAAAUUUCUCCAAAAUCUGGCAGUAUCUCAUUUCUUCCCGGCCAGUGUUUGGGCACUGCUAAGGGAAAUGGAUAUGUAAAAUUUCCACUCGACUCAGGCCAAAAGGAAAAAAAGAAGUUCGAAUCACCCGUGAGCCACAUUUAUAGCCAUGCCCUUGUUUUAAGUCGAGGGCGAAGGUGGUUCAGGCAGACUUGAGAUAGAAACUUUGGAAAGGGAAAGUUAUAGGCCUAUAAGAGUAGACCCCUCCUCCCAUGGUUUCCUGCUGCAAAUCGAUGCAGAUCACAUAAUAGGGAAGCUUGCCAUUGAUAAAGGCCAGCAAAGCUUUGUUUUGAUAUACUUGAGUUACCUGCUCUGGGUAGAAGGAAAACUACUUUUCUUUGGAUUAACAAAAAGAGGCUGCCCCAACUGAGCAGGGUCCAUGACAAUGAGGAGGAGGAGGAGGACAGAGAUUAACAGCAGCAGCACUGGGCCCUGGGCUGGUGGCAGCUGCUUCCUCUUGGGCCCUCUAGCUUGCUGAACAGUGCCACCCUCUGACAUCUACCCAAAUGUUGCUACAUCUCCACAGCUGGUAAAGAUACAGGAGGAUACUAGGAAAGCAUAGAUGCUUUAGAGUUGGAGAGUGGGUGGAAGCUGGUGGUGGAUACUUAAUGUUUUUAUUUUUUGUCUUUUUGCCAUUUCUUGGGCUGCUCCCGCGGCAUCUGGAGGGUCCCAGGCUAGGGGUCGAAUCGGAGCUGUAGCCACUGGCCUGCGCCAGAGCCACAGCAACGCGGGAUCCGAGCUGCACCUGCAACCUACAGCACAGCUCACGGCAACGCCCGAUCCUUAACCCACUGAGCAAGGCCAGGGAUCGAACCCUCAACCUCAUGGUUCCUAGUUGGAUUCGUUAACCACUGAGCCACGACGGGAACUCCCUUAAUGUUCUUUUUAAAUAACUUCCUUAUAAUAUAAAAUGAAUAAUGUGAAACGAAUCCAAAGGGAUAGUGAAAAUCCUCAGCAUCUUUUAGCAGAUAUAUUUCAAAUAUUUAGAAGAAAUAUUUGAAAGAGCGUGUACAUAGGAGGGAAUUCCAUCCAAAUUGUUAUGCUUAAUUCUCCCACAACACCCCCUGAGACUCUCGCAGGCCCUGUCUGUUGUAGGAGCAUGAGUUUUAUUUAACCCUCCCAGCAUCCCAUCAGUUGCCCGAAGAAUGAGAUAAGCCAUGCUGCUGUUUGUUUUUUUUGUUUUUUUCCCCUGUGUCUUUCUCUCAUUCUUUCUUGCAUAAGUCUUCUCUGCAUAAGUUUAAAUGUGAUUAUUUGAAAAUAAAAAUAAUUAUACGGAUCAACUCAAGAGUUGUGAAAACAGUGGCUGUGAAAAUCCUGAAAAAUGAGGCCAAUGAUCCCGCUCUUAAAGAUGAGUUAUUAGCAGAAGCAAACGUCAUGCAACAGCUGGACAACCCUUACAUAGUUCGCAUGAUCGGAAUAUGUGAAGCCGAGUCCUGGAUGCUGGUUAUGGAGAUGGCUGAACUUGGUCCACUCAACAAAUAUUUACAGCAGAACAGGCACGUCAAGGAUAAGAACAUCAUAGAGCUGGUUCAUCAGGUGUCUAUGGGAAUGAAAUACUUGGAAGAGUGCAAUUUUGUGCACAGAGAUCUGGCUGCAAGGAAUGUAUUGUUGGUUACUCAACAUUAUGCCAAGAUCAGUGACUUUGGACUCUCCAAAGCACUCCGUGCCGAUGAAAACUACUAUAAGGCCCAGACCCACGGGAAGUGGCCCGUGAAAUGGUACGCUCCGGAAUGCAUCAACUACUACAAGUUCUCCAGCAAGAGCGACGUCUGGAGCUUCGGAGUGUUGAUGUGGGAAGCGUUUUCCUAUGGACAGAAGCCAUAUCGGGGGAUGAAAGGAAGCGAAGUUUCUGCUAUGCUGGAGAAAGGAGAGAGGAUGGGGUGCCCCCCGGGGUGUCCAAGAGAGAUGUAUGAGCUGAUGACGCUGUGCUGGACCUAUGACGUGGAGAACAGGCCUGGAUUUGUAGCGGUGGAGCUCAGGCUGCGCAAUUACUACUACGAUGUGGUUAAUUAACGUCUCCCACGCCCGUCCGUGGCUGCCUUUGAGCAGAUGAGCAGUCGCAGGAAGACCAUUCCAGUGCCUUGAUUUUGAGUCUCCAUCUCCCUCUGCCCAUCAGGAGAGCCAGCUCAGGUGGAGCAUAUCCGUGACUGUUGUUCCCCAAAGCCUGUCCCCGAACAAGCCUUCCACAGAGCAGACCCCUCCCGGAGGAGGCCCAGAUUGAUGGAUGGACACCAGGAUUGCAGGACCGGUGGAUUCAUGUUUCUUGUCUGGGUGGCAGGUUAUUUGCAGGAUCGGUUUCCAAAUUCCUUUCUGUCUUUCCAGUUCUGGGGCUGUGGGCUGCACUGGAAUCACCAUAGGGGGUUAAGCGCCCGUUAGCUGCUCUUUCAGUGGCCAGAGGGUGCCACUGGCCGGUGAUGCCUGCAAGGAGGGAAGGAAGGAAGAGACGGGCUUUGGCUGCCACUGGAACGUGGCUCUUACAGGUCCCAAGACUGAGUCCUGCCACUGGAAAACUUUCCCCCAUAAAAGUGCUUUGAGGCUUAAAAAAAAAAAAAAAAAAUCAAGCUGGACCAGUGCAGUUUCUAAGCCAGUAGCUCAGUUAAGGGAAAAAAAAAAAAAAAAAAAA